UACACGGACCGUUUACGGGGACGGUCAAAAUAAUGUAUGUUUACCUAGUCCUCUUCGCCGUUUUGUCCUAUUUAGUGUGUAUAAAAUACAUUUACAGUCGACAAUGGCACGCUUUGAGGAGCUCGCUGAAACGUACCUUCAACGUUUCGUCAGAGAGAAAAGUAGUUGGCGCUGACGUCAGAGCUCUGGCUGUUACUGCGCAUCCGGAUGAUGAAUGCAUGUUCUUUGCCCCAACGAUCAUACGACUCGUGGAAUCGAAUGCCAGCGUACACCUGCUGUGCUUGUCUGAAGGGAACUUCUAUCAUCAGGGAUCUCAACGCAGAGAAGAACUCCUCAGAAGCUGUGCUGUGUUGGGGAUACCAGCCUCCAGAGUCACCAUCAUAAACCACGAAAAACUUCCAGAUGAUCCCAAAGCCCAAUGGAGCGUCUCAUUAGUCUCCUCUGCAGUACUGAGGCACAUCACAGAUCACUGUAUCAACAUGGUGCUGACCUUUGACGGAAGAGGUGUGAGCGGUCAUGCCAAUCACAUCGCCAUCCAUAAAGCUGUAAGACAUCUUGCUUCUACUGGUGAAUUGCCUAAAGGUAAGGUGUUACAUGAAGACGACUUGUUGAAGAUUGACAUGUUUACUGAAAGCUCUGGGAUGUUCAGCAGAGACUGGCAGGCCUUUGCCUAUUUAAUGAGUGUUUAGCGCCCUCUUCUGUUCAAACACGUUCAACAAUCUUCUCUCUGCUCCAGUUUACUUGCAGCACAGUUGGCCUGUAGUCGUGUAGUUGUGUGCUUUCAGAUUCUUCCUCUUCUCGUCAUUUCAGGGGUUUCCAUAGAAGCAUCAUUACCUUUUAGUUUUACUUUUGUUUUCCUUGGAACAUUUCUAAAGAGUCACCAGAUGGAAAAUUUCUUAGAAGACUGAAAUGAAAGUAGAAGAAAUUCUUCUACUUAGUACACAAAAUCAUUAUAUAUAAAUGAGAUGAUUGUAAAGAAAUAUAGAAUCCUGCAAAACUUUUCUACAUUUUGUUACAUGACAACUUCAAACUACUUGCUUGUUUUUAAAUAUAAAUAUUAAGUAGGGGUGCCGUACUUACUAGGACAAUUUCAGUCCCAAUUUUCUUAAUUUUGGGAGAUCUGCGAUUGGCCGAUAAUAACAUGUGAAACUGAUCUUAUCUACCGCCACAAAAGUCUGAAAAUCAGCCACUGUGCCCUUUUGCUCUGCUGUGAGACAGGGCUGCAGGUCCGCUGUUAGCAGUAGUCUCUUCACUGUUGCAAACUUUUCAGACAAAAAAACCCCAAUCUGCUCCACUCAAAAUCAGAAUCGGUAGGUCCCCGACCUGGUAACUUUAUUUCUGACUCAGACCAGGAUAUACCAACUAGCUACCACGCUACCGAACAGGAAAGUCUGUCUGUACCAGGAAGAGACUGGCAAUAAAAUUCUCCACAUUCUGUUAGACCACAAGCAGGUGAGCCCAGUAUCAUUACUCUCUUUCUGUCAACCAUUCCUUUAGAUUUAGCCACUCUAGUAUCAUUAAAAUGACCAAAGGUAACUAUCCCUCAGUGCUUCCUUAUUUUUAUUUGUUAAGAAAAAUAGGGAAUUAAUUGUUUUCCCUCCACUUAAACACUAUGAGCUGGUUAUCACAUAAAGAUAAAAAAAAAAGACAUUCCCUGAAUGUUCAUGGUCAUUACAUGGUAAAUGGUUCAAAGGACGAGAAUAAAACUCUACAAAGUACCGUCUGCUUCACCCUGACAACCCGACCUGCUGUUGGCUCGUAGUGAAGCAGCUGACGAUUAGGCCCUGUGAUAACCCUGGCCAUCAGGCUGUAAGGGGAUCUCAGCUAAUCUUGCUGCAUGUGAGGGGAAACCGUCUGCGCCACAUUAGCAGUCCGAGAUCUUCUAUGCGACAUAUUAUUUGAGCGGUGUACAUCUCGUCUUAAGGACUUGAAAAGCAGAGUGUGUGUUGCUCGCCCUGGAAACCGUAGGGCUUCUAAGAAAGUACUCCUCCUUCCUGGACCUUCCCUUCAGCUGGUUUCUACCG